rnacentral:rRNA from 1 species
UACGUAGGGUGCAAGCGUUAAUCGGAAUUACUGGGCGUAAAGCGUGCGCAGGCGGUUCUGUAAGACCGGUGUGAAAUCCCCGGGCUUAACCUGGGAACUGCAUUUGUGACUGCAUAGCUAGAGUACGGCAGAGGGGGAUGGAAUUCCGCGUGUAGCAGUGAAAUGCGUAGAUAUGCGGAGGAACACCGAUGGCGAAGGCAAUCCCCUGGGCCUGUACUGACGCUCAUGCACGAAAGCGUGGGGAGCAAACAGG